CUCGUCGAAGCGGCUGACCACGGCCUGGACCCAUUCCACCGGCCUGUGCGCGGCCAUGUCCUCCCCGCGGCUGGGGAGCGGCGGAGGCACGGGCCGGCCGGCGCCCAGGGCCGGGAAGAGGGCGGGGAGCGGGGGCUGAGCCAUCACAGUCCGAGACGCCGCCAUGACACCCCACCGGAAGUGGGAUCCUUUCCACGGCCUGGGGAGAGGGAGCGAGAGCUAGAGACUGAGUGCGGCUGGGAAAGGGGAGGGGGGAAGCGAGAGCGAAGGGGGCCUGCCGCGCAUGCGCCCGCGCCGGCCGGUUUCAUUAAUGAAAAAGCGAGUCCUCCUGGAGGUGACGUCACCUAACUCCUUCGGGCCUGGAGGCGCGCGUCCUACAAGGCCUCCGGGUUCACCUAGACUCUCCACCGAGGAUUCGGCCAGCGUGACUCCGAACUGACCCGGGAGCAUCUGCUUCAUCCCCACCGCCAUAUCAGACUCCCCCUCCCCCGCCGGCCUCGGGAUUUGGAUUGCUCCCCAGGUUGGAAGUUAGGGCGCCCUGAGGCUAGCAUUUCUUCCAAUGCGCUCAUCUCCCGCUGCGCCUUGUGGAAGCUGUGCUGAGCCUCUCUUUUCUCACCAAGAAUGUGGCAUACAACUUUGGGUUCCCAAGCCCUCCCUAGAUAUUCUAGACUUUUGAGAAGCUGGGAAAAAUAAAUAAAUAAUAAAAAGGCCAAAA